UCCCUUUUGGCUCAGCUGGUAAAGAAUCUGCCUGCAAUGCGGGAGACCUGGGUUUGAACCCUGGAUUGGGAA
rnacentral:tRNA from 1 species